CCACAUCUGCAGCAUGUAGAAUUCCUUGGCCAGGGAUAGAAUCCAUGUCACAGCAGCAACCCAAGCCACAACAGUGACAAUGCCAGAAACUUAAUCCGCUGCAUCACCUGGAAACUCCUAUUCAUCCCUGUUUAAAUCAAAAGUCUUGGAGUUCCCACUGUAGCUCAACAGGCUAAGAAUCUGACAUAGUCUCCAUGAGGAUGUGGGUUCGAUCCCUGACCUUGGUUGGUAGGUUAUGGAUCUGGCAUUGCUACAAGCUGUGGCAAAGGUCACAGAUGGGGUUCAGAUCUGGUAUUGCUGUGGCUGUGGUGUAGGCCAGGAGGUGCAGCUCCGAUUUGACCCCUAGCUUGGGAAUUUCCAUAUGCCAUAGGUGCGGUCCUAAAAAGAAAACAACAAAAAAAAAAUUCAAAAGUCCCUGCUGACACCUGUUUACAACUGAGAGUAUUCUCUUUCAUUUUCAAAAGGGUCUCAGCCCUUUAGAUCCUGAUCAAACCAUGUACAUAAAUAUUUGUAUUUAUCUACAGUCAUAUUCACAUAUUUGUGAGAUAAGCCAAAAUUACAACCAUGACAAGCUACUUGAUGAUACUGAGCAUCAUUAUUACAUUUUCGGUAUGCUAUUGGUAAUUGUGGUUUUAUUUUGAAUAAGGCCUCUUAUCUAAAUGAUACAUAUUGAAAUAUCUAUGUAUAAAGUGGUGAUAUAUUAUCUGGAAUUUGCUUCACAUUAAUAAGUGAAGGGGAAGUGAAUGGCCUUAGGGAUGAGGCAGAAAUGCCCUUGGGUUGACGGCUGUGGGCUUAAGGUGGUUAAAUGGGUCUUCAUUAUACUUCCCUACUGCAUACAUGUUCAAAAUGCUCCAUAAUAAAACAAAACAAAACAAAAGCCUGGUAUAGAUGUGAUCACUGCAGUCUAAACCAACGUUUCACAGGAAGAAGACUUGAUGCUAGAGGGCAUUUUCCUUUCCAGCUUCAUUUCUUACCAAUUCACUCUUGAUAUUCUACACCCCAGCAAUAAAGAAUAGAUGAUUCUGUGCUCUUUUAAAGUCACAUUCUUAUACACUUCUGUGCCUCUGCCCUUCUUCUACGUGCUUGGAAAAUCUUCCCCAGCUUUUCGCCCAUACCUCAAAACACUUUGGUUAGCCUUAAACUGAGACCCCAGUUCUGGCUCAGGGGCCUCUCCUCUGAGAUCACAGAGCAGGCACCAGGUCUAUCACACUCCUUAUCACACUGUGUAAUUAACGGCUUCUUUUCGUCUUUCUUCCCAAGAGUCCCAUGCCUUCCAAUCUGUUCUCCGAAUUGUGUCCAAAGUAAACUUUAUAAAGUAAUAUCUUUUGUACCAACUCCUGAUAAAAACCCUUCAAUUAUUUCUCCCUCCCUUCAGGAAAAAGUCCAGUCCUUACCCAGGGUUGAAAGAUCCUUUGUAAUGUGACUACUUUGACCUUUGACUUCCUCACUUGUUGCUCCCGCCCUUGUAUUCUCAAUUCUGCAAUACUGAAUUAUCUGAACUUUCCCAUAUUGGCCCUUGAUUUCUCACUUCCCUGUGCCUUGAACCCUCUGCUUCCUUCUGCCCAGAAUGUUCUUCCCUGCUACAGGUUUAACUGCUCAUUACCCUUCAUUUCACAGUUCAGACUUCCCCUUUUCACAAAGUCCUGGUGGAGGCCAGCUGAGUCCAAAGCCUCUUCUUCUCCAAGUUCAGGGUGACAUACCCGUAUCUUAACACAUAGCCUAGUACUUGUCUUUUCUCCCUCCCUUCCCCAUCUCUCCCACUAAACCAGCAACUCAGAGCAAAACCAGCCUUAAUCAUCUCCACAUCACUGGUACCUAGUCCACAUCACUGGUGCCUAGUCCACAUUCAGCCAUAUGUCAACCCACAAAGAAUACUAAAUGGAUGAAGAUCUAGAGGAUGAAUAUAAAUAUUAUAGGUAAGUGAUAAACCUGUGGGGGGGGGGCUUGUAUAGUUUUAUGGAUAAACUAAAACCUAUCUAUCUUAUAGAGCCAAUAGUCUAGGCCUAUCUUAUUCAGUCAUUCAUACUGAUGGACUCAUUAUUUCAUUCAUUGAUUAGCUCAUUUAAUGAAUAUAUAGUUUCUAUGACCCUGGCACUAUGUUAGGUCCUGUGGAACUGGUUAUUUGCAACAGACCUGGUCUACUGCUCUCCUAAAAGCUGACAGCUUCAGUGGGGAGACAGAAGUGGAUCAAUCAUACCUAAAAUCACAUCCUAACAAAAAGGUUCUGAAAGAAGCAGAGUGAGAAAUGAGAAUGUCUAGGAGGAGAACCUGGUGGGAGAAAGGGAGAGAAAGUGUUGGGGAGAGCUCCACAAAAGAUGUCACAUUUUGUGAGAUCUAAAUGUCUUUUGAAAGCAAAUAAAUGUGAAGUUCCCUGUUGGCUCAAUGGGUGAAGGAUCCAGAGUUGUCACUGCUGCGGCAUGGGUGGGUUCAAAUUCUGGUCCAGAACUUCUACAUGCUGUGGGUAUGGCCAAAAAAAUGUUAUUUAUCAGUAAAGAUUUUUUCAAAUGGGCACAGAAGGCAGAACACACUGAGCUAAGCUAAGUGGCACCGACAGUGAAGGAAUACUCAUGCCAGUAGAAACUUAAUACAUACGUGCUCGACCCUUCACCUUAUUUAAGCAAGAUAAUUUUUUUUGAGGUAUAAAGCACGCAGACACCUAUGUAGCACAUUCUGCAGAAUAUGCAAUAGGAUAACACCUCCUGGAACAAUGUCUGAAAUUCUGACUUUUUAGAAGCUCUGACAGCUCA
rnacentral:lncRNA from 1 species